UACGUAGGGUGCGAGCGUUAAUCGGAAUUACUGGGCGUAAAGCGUGCGCAGGCGGUUUUGUAAGCCAGAUGUGAAAUCCCCGGGCUUAACCUGGGAAUGGCAUUUGGGACUGCAAGGCUUGAGUGCGGCAGAGGAGACUGGAAUUCCUGGUGUAGCAGUGAAAUGCGUAGAUAUCAGGAGGAACACCGGUGGCGAAGGCGGCUCUCUGGACCGUAACUGACGCUGAGGCGCGAAAGCGUGGGGAGCAAACAGG
rnacentral:rRNA from 1 species